rnacentral:rRNA from 1 species
GACGAACGCUGGCGGCGUGCUUAACACAUGCAAGUCGAACGGAAAGGCCCUGCUUUUGUGGGGUGCUCGAGUGGCGAACGGGUGAGUAACACGUGAGUAACCUGCCCUUGACUUUGGGAUAACUUCAGGAAACUGGGGCUAAUACCGGAUAUGAGCUCCUGCUGCAUGGUGGGGGUUGGAAAGUUUCGGCGGUUGGGGAUGGACUCGCGGCUUAUCAGCUUGUUGGUGGGGUAGUGGCUUACCAAGGCUUUGACGGGUAGCCGGACUGAGAGGGUGACCGGCCACAUUGGGACUGAGAUACGGGCCAGACUCCUACGGGAGGCAGCAGUGGGGAUUAGUGCACAAUGGGCGGAAGCCUGAUGCAGCAACGCCGCGUGCGGGAUGACUGCCGUCGGGGUGUAAACCGCUUUCGCCUGUGACGAAGCGUGAGUGACGGUAAUGGGUAAAGAAGCACCGGCUAACUACGUG